rnacentral:lncRNA from 1 species
UUGCAAGCCAUAUUUUACCCAAGGAGAACUAUUCCACCUUCAGAGCCUCAAAAUAUUAUUUUCUUGGGCACAUGUGACAAGAGCAACAUGAGUUCAUGAGCCAACAAUCUUUAGUCUCUAAAAUUGACAAAACUAGUACACAAACCCUUUCGUAACUAUCCUCAUCAACGACAACAACAAUUUGAACGAAAUAUUCAUUUU